UAGUAGGGGGGGCUGAGGGCUUCAAUAUUGCUGGUUGAGGAGCGACCCUAGUCCUCCGAGCUUCAUGGUUCAAUUGCUCCUCUUGAUGUCGUGCGAAAGAUAUGGCUGCCAUAAGCGUGUACGAUUGUCAUGCUUUAACUUCUCCUCGAAUCUCUGGCUUCAAGCCCUCAAUGAAGGUCCUCAAUAGCUGUUUUUGAGACCAAUCAUGAGUUUGAUCAGAUAACCUUUCAAACCUGGUUUGGUACUCCUGAAUGGUG
rnacentral:lncRNA from 1 species